rnacentral:rRNA from 1 species
GACGAACGUUGGCGGCGUGCCUAAUACAUGCAAGUUGAGCGCUGAAGGUUGGUACUUGUACCAACUGGAUGAGCAGCGAACGGGUGAGUAACGCGUGGGGAAUCUGCCUUUGAGCGGGGGACAACAUUUGGAAACGAAUGCUAAUACCGCAUAAAAACUUUAAACACAAGUUUUAAGUUUGAAAGAUGCAAUUGCAUCACUCAAAGAUGACCCCGCGUUGUAUUAGCUAGUUGGUGAGGUAAAGGCUCACCAAGGCGAUGAUACAUAGCCGACCUGAGAGGGUGAUCGGCCACAUUGGGACUGAGACACGGCCCAAACUCCUACGGGAGGCAGCAGUAGGGAAUCUUCGGCAAUGGACGAAAGUCUGACCGAGCAACGCCGCGUGAGUGAAGAAGGUUUUCGGAUCGUAAAACUCUGUUGGUAGAGAAGAACGUUGGUGAGAGUGGAAAGCUCAUCAAGUGACGGUAACUACCCAGAAAGGGACGGCUAACUACGUG